rnacentral:lncRNA from 1 species
GGAGAGGUUCUGCCCCACAUACUUCAUCAGCUGGGGGGGGCCGUGCUCCCACACGCACCGUGCAGCCCACGCCUCCGCCGCCCUGGCCAGCCGCUCGUCCCACACCAUGUACUCCAUGUUGGCAGCGGGGGGGGACACCUGCGCCCGCACCUGGUUGUGGUAGUCCAGGAUGGCAUUCAUGUCACGGGGGGACAGGUACCGGCGGCGGCGGCUCCGGGGCAUCCC